CCACGCUUGUAAAUUAAUUUCUCUUUGACGAAUCUCAACAUUUGAUUAACAUUUCCUAAUGAAACUCCAAAUCAGAUUGUUUGAUCGAAAUUUUUCGUUUGGCAUUGUAAACAAUGAUAUAUCGAAGCGAUGUAUCGAAAUCCUUCUUAAAUUUCGAAUUACGCGUUAACCAGACACAUCGGUGGCGAUUUAUGAUCGACUAAGAAUACAUAAUCGAUGUGCAAACAACGGUACAGCCGUUGUAAAUAUUUGCGAUGACACGGAUUCACCUUGUGACGAUUGUUUCAAAACGAGAUGCUUUUUUUGCAAAGAAUAAAUUGAAUAACACAGGUUAAAAGGUAAAAGAAACGUCAAGACCUAUUGAUUCGAAUGUCGAUCGAUCGAUGGUAAGAUGGAUAGCCUCAAAAAUAUUUGAAGCGGAAGUCUCAAAAUGGCGCGCAAUUUAAAACGACACGUCGCCAAACCUAACGGCGCUCUCGAUAAGGCUUGGAGGCGAAUAAAAGAUUACAGAAGCAUCCGCUUCGAAGUUACGAAUGUUCCUUGUUAAGAAACUACACGCUCACAAGCUGACGCAUAGCAAAAUCUUUGCAAAGAUGAAAAGUUAGGGAAAUGGAAAUUUAUGAAACUACUUCAAGGAUAUUCAGAGCAUAAAUAAUAUAAUCAUGCGUAACUUGGUCAGAACAAUCUGAUUCACCAGAAUGAAUCAUGUAUGGGGAACAAAGAACAUAAUACAGUACUUUUGUUCUUAUACAAAUUUUGAAAAGUUCAUAUAAUUAGAAUAGAAUAGGGCUACAUUCUAUAUGCAUAAUUAAGUACUUGUAGUAUAACAUGGUAUAGCAUAGUUUAUAAUAGUAUAUACAAUACUGUACAAGAUAAAUGAAAUUGAACUGUUCUGGAAUUGUAAAGAAGUCAUGUAAUAAGCAUAAACACAAAACAUUUAACAAUUUAUAUAUCAUACACAGCUGAAAACACUGGAUAUCUUAUCGAACGAUGCAAUCAUUGAAAUACGUGAUUCCUCGGUUGUUUCGAGGAAUAUAAUAAUGCUUUUUCCAGUCGAGUAAUCGCAAAAUAUUCAGAGAAGCGAUUUUACAAAAUCCCUUAUCAUUUUUUACCUCGGAGGGUAGCACGGAAACGAACCAUUCGGUUUGGGUUACAAUACAAAUUCCAGUGUAGAGUUAUUGUAUGAUACUCUAUAACACGGAUUUUGAUUGAAUCGAUGCUUGUAUUCGAACGUAAAAGCGUGUAUGUUUUCAGUAAUAAGAUUACUGCACCCUCUGUUCCGAACGAAAUAGCAAAGGUGACCUUCCUAAAAGGCCGCUAAUAAGUUUGAUUUCGUUUGCAGGCAUUUUGGAGACACAGAUACUUGAUCUAUAAAGAAACUCGACUGAAAUCAGUGUCCUAUUGGAAACCUUAUGAAAAUUACGUUCAUAAAAAUCUUAUGAAAAUGUUUAUCUUACUAAUGGAAUUCUUAUGAACAUUCUUAUCUUGUUCCAUUCAUCUUAUUACUACUUCAGGCCGGUUUAUGAAAGAUAUAAAACUGAGAAUGUUAUGAACCCCCUUUAUUAGUUACAGCACGAAGUUUCAGAACUUUGGGAAAGUAUUCAGCAUUUCGAGUCAGAAAUUGUAAUCUUCAACUUUAUUCGAAUCAUUUAAGGGUGGAACUGAAAUUAUUGUUCUAGAUGUUAUCUCGAUCAAUUUAACUUUGCAGAUAUUAAUUUAUAGCCAAUUUAAAAGAUAUUAAAUUUGCAGGCGUUCGGAGUAAGUGAAACGUGUUUAUUAAAAUUGCUUUUUCAUCUAUGAAUCUCAAUUAAUUUAUCAGCCGGGAAAUCUCUAUUCAAGAAUCCGGUGGAGCAGGAAAAGGGAUAUGAAGGCAUGUGGUGUUUACUUUGAAGUACCCGAGCAACUAAUUGCCAUGACAAAGGGAGGGAAAUGAGCUCGUGCGUGUCGUACAGAAUCAAUUUGGUAUCACUUAAUUAGUAGCUCUAUCACAACACUAUACAUCCAAUACAUCCAGCAAAAAGUGGUGAUCAAGAAGUGUAAAGAGUCUUACCUGUUGCUGAUAGUGCUGAUAAUCGGUGUUCCCUUUGAUCGCGGCGGAAGCAGCGUUUAGGAGG